rnacentral:ncRNA from 1 species
AGAAACGCGAUGAAUGGGAGCAGUAGAAGACAAUCAUUAGCCAAGAGAGCUGCGGGUCGGUGUGACGCAGCCUAAUGAAUCUUUGAACUCGCCCGGGAGUGGACUUGCUAAAAGGGAAAGACAUCAAUUCCUGAAGGCUUUACGAUUAACCCCCGUUACCGGGUUUACAAGCGGAUUCUAUUAAUGGAAUCAAAAAGAGUGGUACCGCGGUAGGCUUUAAUAGCUCAUCGUCUCUUAA